GAAAAAAAGGAAAAGGGAGAAAGAUUGUCACAAUCUGGGGUUUUCAUGUAUGCGUUUCUGUCACAGUCCAGGUCAUUCAGUUACUGUUUCCAUUCAUUUCCGGUUUUUAUUUUGCUACCACUUCCUGUUCAGUGCCCAUGUUUUCAGUUCCAGCUUUACCUCCGUUUCUAGUUAACUCACCUGUGUCUCAUUAGUACUCUACUCACCUGUAAUCCAUCAGCAUAUCACUCUGCGUUUAAGGACCAGCUCUAGCCCUGCCCAGUUGCCAGAUUGUCUGCGUUGUACUAGCCAGCAUUCUAUUUCAUAUCUUGAUCAGUGAAUGACCCGGCUUUCCCUGACCUUGCCUCCUGCUUUGCCUUUGAUCCUGCACUGCCGAAAAUAUUCCUCCAACUUGACCCCUUUCAUGUUCCUGCGGUUCUUGGAGAAACGACUUCAACAUCUUUGCUGAAUAUACCUUUUUUUUUUCCUGACUGCUGAGUUGUUUCACAGUGGAUACGUCACUGCAGUCUGACAUGCCAUCAUCACUGUCACUAAUGUCUGACAGCGUCGGCUCUUUAGCCACCUUACUGUCUAUGGGGUGCCAAAUGUAAAAGGAGCAUCUAUUACUAGUUUUCUCACAUUUAACUAAAUGACACAUUUUCAUGCAUUUGGUUAAAUGUGCAAAAGUCUGAAUGUAAAACGAGUGUAAAACUGAAUUUUUAUAACAUGUGCAAGUAGACUCCACCCCUACUCUCAAACAGCGAUCUCAGAUCAGUGACACGAAGUCAAACACCUGUAAACCCGCCCACAUCUGACCUGGAAACUUUUGUUUUUAGCCUGGACGUAACUUCGGCUAGCUAGUAUAGUUAGCCAACUAAUUCUCCACCGACGCCACAGAAAUACCCUAUUCAAACCUACUUAACUCCCCAAUGGUGUUUACGACAGAACAGCAGUUUGAAGCGGAGCCUCAGCCAACACACCUGCCGUUACAGCCCGUUCAAUCUCCCCCAACGGGUGGGAGUCGGAGCUGGCGGCCACGAUGACUUCGACUUCAGGUUCAGGUCCUUGUGCGCGUGGCGCCCUCUGCUGGCAGCAGGUAGCCAUGACACUACAUGACCAGAGACUGGGCCUCAGCUUUCCCAGACAUGAAUCCAUGCAUCAUAUUCAUAGCCACAAGCUGAAUGGAAGCAGCUGUUUGCAGCACGUUGGAUGGCUGUUCACCUUCGAGUUCUCAGUUCUUCCCCUGACAGUUGGUACCAGCUAUGUGUCAGCAUGGCUGGAUUUUUCCUCCAGGCUCCAGCUCUUCUUCCUUAUAGUUUGCGCUGGAUCAGCAGCCCAACAGUGGAAUCAUUCUAUUGGUGGUUUCUAACCUGUUCAGUUCUCAGUGGUUAAUGAAUGUAUCCAUAGUGACACACAUCAUUUGGCUGCUGAUGAUUGAAGGACUUGGCAUUGAAAUCAGUGGAGAUUUCCACUGAAAUCUCUGUCAGUCAGCCCUGUCAGUCAGGACAGUCAGCCCUGUCCUG